GGCCGCGGGAACGUUCCCGUAAAGCUUAACGAUACUUAGGGAUUUUUCGGUGGUGGUGGGGGGGAAAAUUACGUCCGACGCAAUUUAUUCGUGCGCGCGGCGGCAUCGCGGCCUCAUCAUUAGCACUCGAUUUUGCAAUGCCCAAUAACCUACGCGGACACUCGAACGAAACGGAUUCGUCAAUCACUCGAUCGGUGAUCACAGCAAUUGCAGCGUAGUGUACAAGUUUCAAUUCG